CGAAAAUGUCCAAAACUUGAAACCCACCCUUUAAUCUUCACACCAUAUCUAACUUAUGCACUAUCGACAUGUAACUCAUAUGUUGCCCAAGACUUUGACGACGAUAGCCUCUUUAUGUGGUACAGAUAACGCUGCCAGCCCUUCUUCUAAGAAGAUGAUCCGAAAAAGAUGCGGAUUCCUGUGAUUCUCUUUAAUCACUUUGGCUAACCUCUCUUCAUCUAAAGUCUCAUCUGGCCAAUCACCAUGUCACGAAAAAAAACCUUCCCAUGUUUUUCCUUAAAACCCUUAGUAGCCUCCUCCUCCUUCCCAUUACCUUGCCUCACUGUAUAUCACCCUCUUUAUAGACACACAACUCUCCUCCCCACCCCUUCACUCAUAUCUAAACCCUAGCAGAAAAAAUUUGAAUACACAAAAUUAUAUAAAUCCAACUUAAUAGAAAAAAGCAAAAACAACCUAACAAUAAAACACAAGGUUAAUAUUAGAAUUUAGAAAAGACCGACCAAAAGAGGAUUAGGGUUCUACGUUGCACUGGAAAAAGGCAGGAGAAGAAGAAAGAGAAGAGAGAAGAAAAGAGAGCCGCCAUCGAACGAGGAAGAAGUGAAAGGAGAAGAAGACGACGGAGAGAGAAGUUGUGCCAUCGCCACUUUCUUCACCUCCGGCACCGUCUCUGCCUUGCUCUUCUGUUAUCGUUUCUACCUUGCGCUGUAAUCCUCUUCUCUGCUCGCCGUCGUAGUGUUCCUCAUUGCUCGAGCUCGCGCCGUGUUCUGCUCUGCUAUGUUUUUCUGCUCGUGCCGUUCUGAAACAUUUAAUCUGCUCCGCCGUUUUGAAUCCUCUGCUCUGCUCCGCCGUGUCGUGGUCCUCUGUCCUCUCAAACAAAUCGACAAUUCUCUGUCGUUCACCUCUUUCUCUCAAGCCUCUCGCCUCAGCCUCGGUCCUCAGGCAUCUCUUCCUCCGUCGUCGUCCUUGAAGGCUUGCAGAUUGAUUUUACAUAUUACUUGGUUAAUUUAGUUGCAUUUUUGAAAUAACAAAACUAGUUCCAUUUAGAGUUCGACCAUGUCGAAGGACAAAGAUUCUACCAAUUUGUCACGCACCUUCAAAUACCUCUUAGGUUUGAUGUAAAUUGUUGUUUCAUUUUUCAGUAAUCACAGUUUAGCAAUGUGAUUUUAGUUUAAUUGUUUUAGACUUUUGAUUGGAUUUUAGCAAUGUGAUAAAUCCUGCACUUGUGGAACAAUAAAUCUUGGUUAGAUUUUUUUUGUAUUUUUGUAAUUGAUUAGAUUAAAUUGUGAUUGUGUUUGACAAAACCUAUUUUAUAAUUCGGAUUGUGUUAUGGAGCAAAUUAAAGGAGUGUGGAACUGAGAUUUCAAUUUCGAUUUUGGGGUUGAGAUUUGGGUAUGUGUGUGUGUAUUGUGUUGUGGAGCAAAUUAAAGGAGUGUGGAACUGAGAUUUCAAUUUCUAUUUUAGGGUUGAGAUUUGGGCGUGCGUACCUUCAUGCGCUCGCUUUAGUUCUUGUGCUGUUUUUCUGGGAUUGAGAAAGUAGAUAGUUAGGGAAAGAGGAUUGAGGAGAAAUAAUUGCCAAGUAUUUGUUGUUAUUACAAUUUCAUUUUCUCUAAAUAUAAUUUCUUGAGUAUUUAGUUCUUAUUUUUUAAUAUAAUAGUUCAUUAGUCAUUUUAGUAACAUGCAUAUUAGUCAUUUUAUUUCUUGAGUAUUUUAAGUUUUGAACUAGUUGCCAAUUUCAUUGAGGCUAUGAUCCCAAACCUACGCUCCUGAAGGCUUGUAAGUGCAAGCAUAUGUAUAAAUUCUUUUAUGACAUACCUCGAUGACCUAUGCUAAUUCUUAAAUGAUCGUUUAUCUGUUUUAAUAUUUAUGCUUAUAUAAUAAUUUUUCAAUACAAAUUUUUGUAACUGGCCAUGUUGUGUCCUAUGUUAUUUAGAAUUUCCAUGCCCAUAGAUGUGUUUAGCUGUGCUGGGUAUGGUGUUGUAUCCAUGUUCUGUAGAAUGUCACACUAAGUAUUCUAUAUUAAUGGCCACUCGCCAUGCUUUUCUAUUUGACAUGAGUCUCAAGUGUUGGUUAAAGGUUGCAAAUGACUGCUUUCUUGCAUCAAAUUUUGCCAUCUCUUGGAGUUUAGGUUCAAUUCAUAGUGGUAAGCUGGCAUCCUUGUAGGUUGAUGUUAGAAAAUAUUUGGCCUGGAAACCGUGCUGGAACUGGACUAGGUAUGUAUUUAUUGACUUCUGUAUUUGGUACUGCACCAGGCGCAAAAAAAAAAAAAAAAAAAAAUUGGAACCUUUUCAUUCUUGCAUAUAUGGGCCAUGAGGCACUCUAUGCAAUUACACUACCUGAAGACUAAACCAAGAUUAUAAAAUAAUUUCAAAGAAGCAGAUGAAUCUCAAUUACGAGAAGUCUUCUAGAGUCUCCUUGGACCUCCAAUAGGGAUGGCCGAAGAAGCAUUAUUAGAUUCAAAAAGCUUAGCAUGGGAUCCUCUCGUGCUUGUAGACUAAUUUAUUUAUUUAAUUUUUCAGGCAGGGGAAAAAUAGUUGAGAGAUAGGAUUGUGAAUGCUUGCUAUGAUUACUAUUUUAUUUUGUUCCUGUUGUUUCUUUUUCUCUCAUAAAGUGAAGCUAUAUGGUGAAUGAAUCAGCUUAAGUGUAGAGUGUGAUUGUUAAUGAAUUUUGUUAACUAUGCAUUUUAUUGGUGAGCAGGGGCAUUUAAUUCAAACUUGCUGGGGAUACAUGCAUUAAACCAAGUCUACUUUGGUUGAUCUUUCAGCUUCUGCCUAAGGUUUAUGAUAAGAAACUUUCUAAUUUCCUAGGUUGAAGUUCUUUUUCCAUCUCUGCAUGCACAUUAUUACCUGACUUCUCAAAAUCAGGAGUAGUUUAAUCAAGUAUUUGUAAUUCUCUAGACAAUCAAAACAUUGGAGGUCUUCCAUAGCUGAUGAGCGUUCAACUAAGUUAGAGUCUUUGUCUUCAGCAGCAAUCUUUUGUUUUCGAAUUUGAUGAGUUCUUAACCAGGCUAAAAUCUUUUCCUUCAGCACAUCCAUGUUUCUGGUUCAUCUCCAUCCUCAUUUUUAGGGUCAGGGAAAGAGUGAAAAGAACCUCAAUCAUCUUCUCUAGCAUGCAAAUGAAAUGAGCUUCAAAAGUGGUAACACUUCAACGUGUUGCAUACUCAAAAGAAGACGCAACGUUUUUUGCUAGUAGCUGAAGCAUGACAGCUAAAAGAACAGGUAUAAAGUGUUGUCUAAAACACAGUUCAGAAGUGUUGUCUAUUUUAAUGAAUAAGCAAUGCUUUUAAAGAGUUGUCUUCCGAAGCGUUACUUUUGAAGCAAAAAAGCAUUGCCUCGACUUAAGGCAAUGGCCGCAUCUGCAAGCCACCUCCCGCCCCUCCCAAAAAAGGUUGCCUCAAGUCUCAAAACGUUGUUAUAGAUCAAAGACAACCUUUAGGCAACACUUUUUAAAUGUUGGUUUAGUUCCAAAAUGUUGUAGUAUUGUAUGAAUAAAUUUGUUGGUACGUUAAUUAGUUUUAGAUAAUUUUAGUACUUUAGUUUUAAUAAGAAAGUUGAGUUCAUAUAAAAUUGAAAUUUCAAUAUUCAAAUAUCAAAUACACGAAAUCAAUAACUAAAAUAUUGAAAAAUAAAUUAAAAUUAUAUCAAUCGAAUGAUCUUUCCACAUUAAAAUUUGCAAGUAUCUUAUUAUACAUAAAAGUUGUGUUGUCUUCUGGUACAUAUCAAUUAUGUAACCUUCAUAUAUAAU